ensembl:lncRNA ZRANB2-DT ZRANB2 divergent transcript
AGGUAGUUCCAAAAUGUCUUAAAAGGAAGAGAUAAAGUUAAAUUAAAAGUACUGUAUUGGGGCCCCAGGCAAUGAAUAAAAUGAGUAGAAGGAAAAAUAUUUUUUGUUCCCUACACUGGAUUGGCAUACAUGAAGAUAGCAGAGCACUCAUAAUACUCCACUACAGUGAGGACACCAUUAAUAGCAAAAUGGGAAUGAUGCUGUUGAUUCAAAGAAAACUGAAAGUCCCUUGAAAUCCUACAGCUUGUCUAGAAUAGAAACUAGAUAGAACAGAAACUAGAUAAUUUCCAAAUUUUACAAUAAUCUCUAAAAUUUAUAUAACAUAACUGACUUUAUUAAUAAUUUAGAAAAGUUUCUUUAUAUGUGAAAGUGAAAAACAUUUUUUAACAUAAAAACAAUGCUGUAUUUUAGGCAGGUAAUUAAUUAUUUAUGUUAAUUUCAUAAGCUUUGUAGCAUUUGCCAGGCUUAAAAAUUUUAAUUUAUUUUGAUUUAUUUUUCUAAAUACAUAUUAACCUUCA